rnacentral:misc_RNA from 1 species
UGUGGGAGCUGGCUUGCCUGCGAUAGCGGUGGGUCAGGCUCAGCAGAACCGACUGAUAUACCGCCAUCGCAGGCAAGCCAGCUCCCACA